GCACUGCUGUCGGGUCCCACAAUAGGACGAAACGGUCGUCCAGUGC
rnacentral:hammerhead_ribozyme from 1 species